GCCCAGACCCAGGUUCAAUCCUUGGUGGUGGAACAAAGAUUCUACAAGCCACAUGUAGCACAGCCCCACCCUCCCCUGACAAAAAAGGGAUAACUAAGGUGGUUUAACAUGGGAACGAAACCCUGUGGAUAUUUCCUAAUGGUGGCUAAUACUUGUUGUGAUAAAUAUUGUGCUUGAUAAGGCAUUAGAGUCUAUAUGAGGUAUUAUUUAUUUAACUCUGACAACAAUCCUAAAGUGAAUGUUAUUCCUAUCUUAUAAAUGAAGCAAUUGAAGUUUAGAGGUUAUGUUACUAGAGUCACAUAGACAUUUAAUUCUAGAAACUAUCUUUCAUAAGGCUGACUGGCACCUCUGCAAGAGAAGUCUUCAUUGCUGACUAUGAGACAAGAUGAGUUUUACUGGAAAACCUUUUUCUUCUUUUCACCAUCCAUACGCAUCUGACCCUCGGGAAGUUCACAGAAACGGUGGAAGCCAAAUAGGUGGCUCAGCAGGAAGAGGAUGCAGCAAUUAACACACAAUCAGAUGAUUAAAAGGCUCAUGAGUCUUAGCAAAAUAUACUUGAAACAAUAAAGGGUACAAUACAAUAGAAGAAAGAGAACCCAAGCAAACAUCAAAGAGGUCGAA
ensembl:lncRNA